rnacentral:misc_RNA from 1 species
UGCCAUGGUAGCUGUGAGACCCAAAAGCGUGAACUAAGAGAAGCCGCAAGUCCACACCAUUGGAGCGCAAAAAGCGGCAAUGACUCAAAUCAUUCGACAUCCCAUUCACACCAUAACCUUGCAUCACCAAGGAUCGAGGGUUUAGAUAUCACAUGCCUCUGGUCAGAAGACGACACCAACAGAAGCAACAGAUUAACCUUGCUCCUAGAACACCAAUCGGUCAUAAAACCUUAGUCUCUCAACUACACACAAAGAAAAGCAAACAACAGUACCCAAACAAGGCAAGUUUUCUAAAAAUCAAUCACCCUCUCAAUUUUCUUCUCGACCUGCAUGUAAAAACAACUAACACCAAAAUAAUAUAUACACCCUGCAAUAGGGAGGGUAAAAACCCAUAGCUAACUAGCAAGUGAGACCCUACCCUGCCCAAAAGGGGUAGG